rnacentral:rRNA from 1 species
GACGAACGCUGGCGGCGUGCCUAAUACAUGCAAGUCGAACGCAGUGGGGACGGGUGAGUAACACGUGGGUAACCUACAAUCAGAGGGGAUAAAACUAGGAAACAGGUGCUAAACCGAUACUGACGGUUGGACCCGCGUUGCAUUAGCUAGUUGGUGAGGUAACGGCUCACCAAGGCCACGAUGCAGAGCCGACCUGAGAGGGUGAUCGGCCACACGGUGACAUCGACACGGCCCAUACUCUUACGGGAGGCAGCAGUAGGGAAUCUUCGGCAAUGGACGAAAGUCUGACCGAGCAACGCAGCGUGAGUGAAGAAGGUUUUCGGAUCGUAAAACUCGGUUGUUAGAGAAUCGGUAUCUAACCAGGAAGCCACGGCUAACAACGUGCCAGCAGCCGCGGUAAUUC